GCGAGAGGCCGGGCAUUCGUAGGCUUCGCCGCGCGGUAGUGCGCGUGCGUAGCGACGGAAGCCCGACGCCUCAAGCAAGGAAGAGGAGAGGAGAAGGAGGGGAGUCGACGUUGGUGACGCGAGCGCGCCUGCGCAGGCGAAACGAGCCGCGGGCGGGGGAGUCAGAAGCUGAGCCUGCCGCAGGGCGGCGCCAAAACAGUGACUUCAUCGCGCACAAACGCAGCCCCGCCCAUCACCAUGGUUACCAUAUCACCCUCCCCGGAGGAAGAGAAGGCCUCUGGUUUGGUUUUGCCGCAAUUUCCAUAUUAAAGAAAGAAGUUCCCCUCAUCUCACGAUCAAGAACCUGGGGCGGGAUCUGAUCUCACAGAUAAAGAUCUGGAGCUCAUCAACCACGUGGAUCUUAUUGGCUAUGACUAGUUUGAAGGACUGGUCUGCUCAAAACAACACUGGAAAAGGAACUGGCAUAGUUGUUUGACAGAGUCUUUAUACUCUGAAGUCGGAUGUCAAUUUCAGAGGAACUUCCAGUAUGCAGCUGAAACAGAACAAAGAGGCAGUUUGACAGACAGCUGUGGGACUUCUCCUUGCCAAACUCUGAUCCCAGAGACAAAAACAAAUUAAUAAUAUAUCUCCAACAACAGAUAAGUGACAUAAAGCUUUAUUGAAUUCCAGACCCAUCUGGUUGGCCACUGGAAAAUGAGA